rnacentral:rRNA from 1 species
GACGAACGCUGGCGGCGUGCUUAACACAUGCAAGUCGAACGGAAAGGCCCUGCUUUUGUGGGGUUCUCGAGUGGCGAACGGGUGAGUAACACGUGAGUAACCUGCCCUUGACUUUGUGAUAACUUCAGGAAACUGGGGCUAAUACCGGAUAGGAGCUCCUGCUGCAUGGUGGGGGUUGGAAAGUUUCGGCGGUUGGGGAUGGACUCGCGGCUUAUCAGCUUGUUGGUGGGGUAGUGGCUUACCAAGGCUUUGACGGGUAGCCGGCCUGAGAGGGUGACCGGCCACAUUGGGACUGAGAUACGGCCCAGAAUCCUACGGGAGGCAGCAGUGGGGAAUAUUGCACAAUGGGCGGAAGCCUGAUGCAGAAACGCCGCGUGCGGGAUGACGGCCUUCGGGUUGUAAACCGCUUUCGCCUGUGACGAAGCGUGAGUGACGGUAAUGGGUAAAGAAGCACCGGCUAACUACGUG